GUCCCCAAACCAUCUCAGAUCUUCUACCUAAGUUGAAAUUUUUGUGCCAGAAGAGAGUUGAAAGAUAUUUCAGAUAUAGUUAUACUAUUAAGAUGUAUGAUUAAUUUUUUAAAAAAUCAUUAGAUGAUGACCAUAAACCUGGCUAAAAAAACCAAGUCUGUAAUCUGCACUGAAAUGAUUUUAAUCUGGAAAGAUUAAGCCAGCUUCUCCUGUUUUCCAAACCAGAGACGUCUCUGAAGCAUUUCCUCUUAGAAAAGAUAAAAAGAAAUGGUUGUUGCAACUGUUAAUAAUUUCAUUAGCAAGGAAAUUGGGCUAAUUUCUUUAGAGGUCUUGUUUCAGAGUUGUGUGAAUGAAAUCCUGUGGUACUCCACCGAAGCUGAGUGGGCCUUAUAUAAACACUUGACUCAGGGAGCACAGACAGGAAAGCUCAAACAAGCUGGAGCCAAAACCAUGCAGUGAUUUGUGGAAGAGCAAUAGACAUUUUGAACUAAACCAUAAAGAGAUGUUAGAUAAAAACCUUGUGAGCAGCAGUUGUUAAAGCAGCGGUAGACAGCUGGGAGAGACCCAGGAAUGCUCUUUUCUAAGAACAAACUACGUGUGCGUCCUAGGCAGUGAAGUUUUCUUCCAAGCUGAGGCCCUCGUCACUAGUGAAAAAUGUUCUUCAGAUUGCCGUGUACUGCCCACUUGCCUCCCCAGACGCCAGAUGAUCACCUUGCAGGAGCUGGGCUGUGAGUGCCAGAGUAACUCGUGGCCCUGACCAGUCGUCCUGUACAGCAGAGCUCUGAGAGCCCGCGAGGUCUCCUGCGUCACAGCUUUUCCUCCCUUUCCUUCCUCUUUCCACAUCCGCCCUGCAGUGACCCAGCCCAUUACGCUUCCCUUGUGCCUCAGUUUCCCUCAUUACGCCUGCCCCUCAGCUGAGGUCCAAUUACCCUGUCUUGCUCUUUGCCAGCUAUACGCCUUCCUAUCCACCCUUCCACAGCCCCCACUAGCUGGGACUCUGCUGGGAAUGUCAGUUGCUCGAGAGCCAUGAUUCCUUCAUGAUUUUUGUCUGCUAUCUAGUCACAGUCAUUCCCCUGCGUACUUUGCUCCCUGAAGAUGCUGAUAAUUGCCUGGACCAGAUCCUCUUGCCUUACCUAGUGAGCCCACCUGGACACAUUUUCCUGAGUCGGCCUAGCUGGCCAAGUUGGUAGACCUGCCUGCCUCUUCCCACCAGCUGAUGCUGCUGAAAUGUUGAUGAUAGGUAAUUAAUGAUCAUUAAGAGCCUAGUCUAUCUCAGAAACUGUCUUAGGUGCUUAAUAUACUUGAACUUAUUUGAUAAUGACUACAACACUUGGAGAAACCGACACUGGGAGAGGUUAAGUGACUUGCUCAAGGUCACCCAAAAAGUAAAUGGCACAGGUGGA
rnacentral:lncRNA from 1 species